GCUCUUGCAUCGAUGAAGAACGUAGCGAAAUGCGAUACUUGGUGUGAAUUGCAGAAUCCCGUGAACCAUCGAGUCUUUGAACGCAAGUUGCGCCCGAAGCCAUUAGGCUGAGGGCACGCCUGCCUGGGUGUUGCACAUCGUUGCCCCCGUGCCUUGGCCACGU
rnacentral:rRNA from 1 species